GAGCAUCCCAAAAAUUCCCUCCCUUUGUUCAUAAGUUUCAGAUCUGAAAUUUGAAAUUCAAACUCCAAAUCUUCAAAAAAUAAAAAAAAAUAGUAGAAAACUAAAAAAACAUUCCAUUGAAAGCUCUUUGUUCUAGUUCGUUUGAAUCUGAAAACAACAUAGAUUUACUUUUAUAUGUUAAACAAUUGAAGUUUAGCAGCUCUUGAGGUCUUUCGAGUUAUAUUUGGUUUGAUUCGAAUUGAUGAUUGGUUAUUGGAAGUUGUUUCGGGAAUGUACUGCAUUGUAUUGGGUUUUUUCUGGGUUUUAGGCCUAAAAUCUAUUAAAGUUUGUUGGAUUCCACGUGCUGUUGCAUAUCUGUUUAGCUUACCUCUAAUUUUCCAUAUUUUAUUCCAAAUUCCAGGUACGAUUCUUGAACGUUGGUGAUAUAGUAUGUGAUUCCAGAAAUGAAAUGAAGUUUCAGCUGAUGUCUUCAAUUUUGUUUUGUGCCAGUUAUAUUUCUGCUAUUACAUGCAUUUGCUCGUGUGUAUUGGCUUAGCCAAAUUCUGUUUAAACAGUUUAAGUUUCUCAUAUUGUACUUAAUUGGACUGUAUAGAUUGUUACCUUUCAGAUUUGUGAAAGUUAAACACUCGAUUUGUUUUCAAUAGUUAUAAGUUAGUUUGAAUAGCAUACUGAGUAAUGCUAGUGAAUAAUAUUAGUUCUUAAAUGUUAGUGAAUAAUGUUAGUUUUAAUGAUAGUUCUUAAACACUCGAUUUGUUUGCAGUAGUUAUA
rnacentral:lncRNA from 1 species